AGGAUAAUAGUUAAUUAUAACAUUUAGGUUGCAUCUAAAAAGUAUUGAUUUAUACAAUUUAUCUUA
rnacentral:tRNA from 1 species